AAAACCCUCCCGUAAAAGAAACACUAAGUGUUGCAUUCAUUAAUCCUAUAAAAUUACCCAUUGUGUGUAUUGUGUUUUCAGGGGUAUGAAAUUGAAAGAAAAUAUGUAAUCAUUAACUGUAAACAUACCGCUUUCUAAUGUGCAUAUAUAUCCGAUAAUCCAAUAUAAUAACAACAUCAAUUAAAACAUAAAAUGAGGCCAUUUAUAAACAAGUGAAUUUAAAUUUAGAUUGAAUGCAAUACGAUACAGUGCAACGAUUAGUCGCGUCAUAUGCUCAUUCAUGCAAAACACGUGCUUUCCGGGAAGUUUCUGAAAACUUUGCGAAAAUGAAAGUAAAAUUCUGUUAACAACUAAGAAUUCGUUAGCAUGUAACUAAUUUGUCUUAAUUACUUAUUUAAUUUUGCUUCGACUGUAACGUUUUCAAUUGCAUUUUUGCAGACAAUAUAUAAAGCAUACUGUAUUGUCAAAUAUGUCAAUGAUUCAGUUAUUUAGGCCCACUUAUCAGCUAAUCAUAACAAUUAACUAGUUAAUGGCAUACAAUAAUAUGUAUCAAAAUAGCAAACUGUGAAUCUGCAACUGCGGACAAAAACCCUCCCGUGAAAGCAAUUAAACACCGACAAAUGUAAUUGCUUCACACAUUGUUGCAUUCAUUAAUCCGCAAAGUUUACUCAAAAUAUCAAACUGUGAAUCUGCAACUACUUUUAGUUUUUAAGUAGUUUAAUCACAGAAUCAAUUAAAAGCAAUUAAACGCCGACAAAUGUAUUUGCUUCACACAAUGUUCCAUUCAUUAAUCCGAAAAAAUCACUCAAUGCUGACAACACUUGUUCAAAAUAUCAUACUGUGAAUCUGCAACAUAUAUAAAGCAAUUUGUUUGUGUAAGGGCACACAAGUGUCUACAAUGUUGGUUUUUGUUUAUCAAUUGAUUAUGCUUAUUUGUCAAUGAAAGUAACAUUAUACUGUCUAGACUUCAUAAUACUUGUUAUAAAACGAAAUAAAGAAUGUCUUGGGAAGCCUGUGUCCGCCUCUGUUAUUUUUGCGAUGAUGACUAAAAAAGAAACACGACUUUGAUGUUCUUAAUGCACUGGCCAGAGCACAAUUUGAUAUUUUAUAUAUUUUAUAGAAACACCCUACUUGUUAUUCAUACUAAGUAAUCAUAAAUAUCGUAGUUCUUAUCAUACUAAGUUAUAAUACAAAUCUUAGUUCAAACAUAUAUAAUUGAGUCAAAUGGGUGUAAAAUAACAACAUUUCAAUUCGGAAAUAUUUUAAUUAGUCAUUAUAUAGUGUAAUGUUACCUACUGAAGUGAAGUCUCUAUUACAAAAAAUAAAUAUCUCGGAUAACCGACAACAAAAUACAAAUGUCGGAAAUGACAUUCGGAAAUGACCGAUUUCGGAUUAAAAAUUCAUAAAUAAUUGUUGAUAGUUGAAUUCGUGGCUCAGAUUUCACGGGAGGGUUUUUGUCCGGUCCCGUUUUUACAUGGGAGAGUUUUUGUCCUCCCCCGUUUUUUUCAUGGGAGGGUUUUUGUCCGUCCCCGUUUAUUCAUGGGAGGGUUUUUGUCCGGCCCCUAUAAAACUGACGGGAGGGUUUUUAUCCGGGAGGGGUUUUGUCCGGCAUUCGGCCAACUUGAGGGGAACUGAAGUGGGCAAACCUCGCCCUGUCAUUGAACAAGAAAGCUGGAUUUGUUGAGAGAGUAUCAUUAAAGCUGAAAUCCAGCAUGAAACCAGGGAGGUGAAGGCCAUCGCACAGGCCAUGUGACGACUAUUCACUCCCCACCAGCUUGUGACUUGUUCCAUGAAGGGAGCAACAACUACAACGGGGUCACCAAGACCAUGCCUCCCCGCUGAGAGAAAUGCAAUCAUUGAUGUCAUAGCCAAAACCUUUGACAAGCCUCUGGUUGAUGUUGAAGAAAAGAUGAGAGGUUGUUUAAGGCGUCUGCGGCUGAUGCACAAGUAGACUGAAGUCUUUGUAAAUAAAAUGUGCUGUUAAAAUGAUUAUUUAACCAUUGUUUUAACUUGUUAUAUUGAUUUGCACCUGUUUCAACAACAUUAACUUAUUUUUAUGCUCCCGGUAGGGUCUCAUAUAACUGUCCGUCUGUCUGUCUAUCCGUCCGAAAACUUUAGCAUUGGUCAUAACUUUUGCAAUAUUGAAGAAAGCAACUUGAUAUUUUGCAUGCAUGUGUAUCUCAUUGAGCUGCACAUUUUGAGUGGUGCAGGGUCAAGGUCAUCCUUCAAGGUCAGAGGUCAAAAUCCAAUGGAAGUAAUAAGCUUUAAAGAGAGAUAAUUUCUAUACCUGCCAAAUGAUAAAUAGAAAUUUUAUUUCAAAACGGCGCAGUAGGGGGCAUUGUGUUUCUGACAAACACAUCUCUUGUUUGUACUUAUUCCAUACAAUCUUCCUUUUUUCAGUUCUUUCUUUGUGUUCAAUGUUAUGUUAUAACACUAUUAUAUUUUAUUAUAACAAUGCCAUGUCUGUCAAAAUAGUUUUAUCAUG